AACGUAGGAGGCGAGCGUUAUCCGGAUUUACUGGGCGUAAAGCGCGCGCAGGCGGCCGGACAAGUUGGACGUGAAAGCUCCUGGCUUAACUGGGAGAGGCCGUUCGAGACUGUCGGGCUUGAGGUUGGGAGAGGGGUGUGGAAUUCCCGGUGUAGUGGUGGAAUGCGUAGAUAUCGGGAGGAACACCAGUGGCGAAGGCGGCACCCUGGCCCACACCUGACGCUGAGGUGCGAAAGCGUGGGGAG
rnacentral:rRNA from 1 species